rnacentral:rRNA from 1 species
UACAGAGGUCUCAAGCGUUGUUCGGAUUCAUUGGGCGUAAAGGGUGCGUAGGCGGCGCGGUAAGUCGGGUGUGAAAUCUUGGAGCUUAACUCCGAAACUGCAUUCGAUACUGCCGUGCUUGAGGACUGGAGAGGAGACUGGAAUUUACGGUGUAGCGGUGAAAUGCGUAGAUAUCGAGAGGAACACCAGUGGCGAAGGCGAGUCCCUGGACAACUCCUGACACUGAGGAGCGAAAGCGUGGGGAGCGAACAGG